GUUCCCAUUCCGAACACAGAAGUUAAGCUCUCUAGCGCUGAUGGUACUUGGUGGGAAACUGCCUGGGAGAGUAGGACGUAGCCACGU
rnacentral:rRNA from 2 species